rnacentral:rRNA from 1 species
UACGGAGGGUGCGAGCGUUGUCCGGAAUCACUGGGCGUAAAGGGCGCGUAGGCGGCGCGGGAAGUCAUCGGUGAAAGUUCAGGGCUCAACUCUGAAUCGGCCGGUGAUACUCUCGUGCUUGAGCACUGUAGAGGCAGGUGGAAUUCCGGGUGUAGCGGUGGAAUGCGUAGAGAUCCGGAAGAACACCGGUGGCGAAGGCGGCCUGCUGGGCAGUAGCUGACGCUGAUGCGCGACAGCGUGGGGAGCAAACAGGG